rnacentral:rRNA from 1 species
CUGCGAAUGGCUCAUUAAAUCAGUUAUCGUUUAUUUGAUAGUACUUUACUACUUGGAUAACCGUGGUAAUUCUAGAGCUAAUACAUGCUAAAAAUCCCGACCUCUGGAAGGGAUGUAUUUAUUAGAUAAAAAACCAGCGCCUCCGGGCUUCUUGGUGAUUCAUGAUAACUUUACGAAUCGCAUGGCCUUGUGCCGGCGAUGGUUCAUUCAAAUUUCUGCCCUAUCAACUUUCGAUGGUAGGAUAGUGGCCUACCAUGGUUUCAACGGGUAACGGGGAAUUAGGGUUCGAUUCCGGAGAGGGAGCCUGAGAAACGGCUACCACAUCCAAGGAAGGCAGCAGGCGCGCAAAUUACCCAAUCCCGACACGGGGAGGUAGUGACAAUAAAUACUGAUACAGGGCCCUUUUGGGUCUUGUAAUUGGAAUGAGUACAAUUUAAAGCCUUUAACGAGGAACAAUUGGAGGGCAAGUCUGGUGCCAGCAGCCGCGGUAAUUCCAGCUCCAAUAGCGUAUAUUAAAGUUGUUGCAGUUAAAAAGCUCGUAGUUGAACUUUGGGUCUGGGUGACCGGUCCGCCUAUUUGGUGUGCACUGGAAACCCGGAUCUUUCCUUCUGGAGAACCGCAUGCUCUUCACUGGGUGUGUUGGGGAACCAGGACUUUUACUUUGAAAAAAUUAGAGUGUUCAAAGCAGGCAUUUGCUCGAAUACAUUAGCAUGGAAUAAUAAAAUAGGACGUGCGGCCCUAUUUUGUUGGUUUCUAGGACCGCCGUAAUGAUUAAUAGGGAUAGUCGGGGGCAUCCGUAUUCGAUUGUCAGAGGUGAAAUUCUUGGAUUUUUCGAAGACGAACUACUGCGAAAGCAUUUGCCAAGGAUGUUUUCAUUAAUCAGGAACGAAAGUUGAGGGAUCGAAGACGAUCAGAUACCGUCGUAGUCUCAACCAUAAACUAUGCCGACUAGGGAUCGGGCGAUGUUUAAUCAUGACUCGCUCG